GCGCCGGUAGCUCAGCGGAUUAGAGCAUCUGACUACGGAUCAGAAGGUCGGGGGUUCGAAUCCCUCCCGGCGCG
rnacentral:tRNA from 1 species